GCAACGAAGCAGGGCCCCACACCUGCGCUGAUAUUUUGGGGCUCCGUUGGCGACGUCGCGACGAGGCGGCGGGAGGGAAUCCUGGCGGCGGCGAGGUGGGGCCGGUCGGGCCGCCGGAACACAGGCAACCGAUCCCAUCCAGCGUUCCAGCUCACUGUGCUCGCUCUUGUCGUCCCCCGCCGGCCGGUCCAACGUGGCCUAACACACCUGUGACACAGCGCAGGACCCACCGUCGUCUCACAAGAGUACAGGCUAGUUUUUAUUUUAACGUAAAAGACGAAUCAUUCUAUGCUACGAGAAACGAUGGCUCUUGCAUGCAACUUUUCAGGCUUCUUGACUCUUGCAUUCGUGAUCAUUACGCUGGCCAAACCAACCUAAUAAUUCGAUAUGGGGCCAGGAUGGUCACAAGUUCAAAGAUCUUUUGUGAGCGUGGUCGCGUGGAUCUGCAGGACCUUCGCUCGUUGAGUCUUUAAUUUAAUUCGUAAUGGGGCUAAAUUAUGAUGUGUACGAGACUUAGCGAAAACAAUAAUGAGGAUGUUUUUUUGUACAGCCUAUUUUUGUUAGAACGUUCCCCCUUUUUCUCAUCCUGUACUGCUAGUGCAUCAAUCAGGAUGUUUGCUAUCUAAGAUUGG